GGAGCCGCAGCUAAGAUCUGGUCAUAAAGCUCCCGGUACCGCCGACUCCUACGUCCUCGAAUGUUCCACGUAUUGCCCAUCGCUGCAUCACUGAUUUUGGCAUGGCGUGAUAUACCCAGAUAUGUGGCGCCAACCGCUCCUGUAAUAUUAAUCAAUUUCCCAAUUCCAAGCCAAUUGUCAAACCAGAAGUAAGUAGUCCUACCAUCCCUGAUAUCAAUUCUAACAAACUCAUAGGCCAAAUCUCUUAGUUUCAGGAGCUUCCUCCAUAUCCAAGAUCCAUUUUGUUCUCCCCUCACAUCCCAAAAGGAAUUAUACCUGAGCAAGUAAUGUGUAACCCAACUUACCCAUAGAGAAGCUGGUUUUGUGAAAAGUCUCCAAAUGAGUUUUAGAGCAAAGGCUCUAGCUGUGUCCUUGAACUUCCUCA
rnacentral:lncRNA from 1 species